rnacentral:lncRNA from 1 species
GUUUCGGCAUUUUCAACGUGGGAAAAGGAAUUGCCAAAGUUUGUUUUCGACUCUCGUUAUUUGCUGCUAAACCAGAGAGAAAGAAAGACAGCUUUUGAUCAAUAUGUCCGAAUCAGGGCAGAGGAAGAACGUAUUGAGAGAAGAAGUAAGCUGAAGGAGAAGAAAGAAGCGUUCAAAGCUUUGUUAGAGGAAGCAAAAGUGUCUUCAAGGUACAUUACACUAUUAUUCAGCUCACUCCCUAUUGGGGCUUUUCGGUGACCGCGAUUACGUCAAGUAUUACGCUUAUAUGUACUUACAGCAUGUUACUUACUUAACCUAGACUAUUUAUCUUUACAACAAUUGUGAUUACUUUCUUAACUGUGUUUAUCCUAACCCACACUGUCAACAUUUCCUGUAGGAGGAAACCGGAGCGCCCUGAGAAAACCCACCACUUUUGGCAGAGCGUUGACUGACUCUUUUCACUUGGGUCCGUAGCGAGAAUGGAACCCACAAUGGACCAUUUGCAUUAUAGACUAAAUUUUGAUCUAGACAAAAAUUUCAUCACAGCUUGAAAGAGCAUCACAAAAUUAGUAAUAUUCCAAAGUUUCGUUGCGAAAUGUUGUAAAAUGCGGAUAAUAUAGCCUUGCGAAGUUUGCCGUUUUUCAGUCAAUUUGUAUUACGCAUGGGAAAUUGACAGCCCAAUCGGGUGUUGGGGCAUCAAUUUCCCGUUUGUAAUACAAAAUGACUGAAAAUUGCAAAUUUCGCAAGGCUAUAUUAUCCGCAAAAAUAAAACAAAAGUUAUUCCGAAUAAGGAGUGCAUAAUAUUAACACACAAUUUAUUAAAACUGUGUUUUAAUUAUCCGCAUUUUACAACAUUUCGAAACGAAACUUUGGAAUAUUACUAAUUUUGUGAUGCCCUUUCAAGCUGUGAUGAAAUUUUUGUCUAGAUCAAAAUUUAGUCUAUAAUGCAAAUGGUCCAUUGCCAUCUCAGAAGGGAAAGGCGCUUGCUCUUCGACGACUUCAUGCGCCACCGAAGCCCCUUAUUUUUUCACCUUGUACAGCCUUUACACAUUAGAGAGGUUAAGAUUGACGUUUACGGCAGACCGGUUACCGCAAACGGGAAACUUCAAUUUGCAUUUGAAGGUAAGUUCUACAAAUUUCCGAAGGUUUCGACAGGUUUUUAGUCAAUUCAUUCUCUACGUUAGCGGUUACUGGUCUGCCGUAAACGUCAAUCUUAACCUCUCUAUUAUUACUGGGAUAGACAAUUAGAAAAAUGAAGGGUGAAGGUACAGGAAAAAAUCAAUACAUGAAAAAAAUCCAUACAACCAGAAGGUGGCAGGAAAAAAAAGGUGGCACAAAAAUGUUCAAUUAACGCAUGUUAGCUAGAAUUUCCUUCUAAUAUUGUAUUAGAGUGUGUAACUUAUGCUUGAACAUUUUAACUAACAUGCAUUGAAAUCAGUUUUUGUUGUAAGCUGCAGCAAUUUUCUUGCUCAUUUUCUUGCUCAUUUUACUUCACCUUUAGUGGAGAAUGAUUGGAUGGAUUGAAAAUGGAAUGCUUUAGACAUGGUAUUGUUUCUGUUUUUCAGGACAACAUUUAAUGAGUUCUCCUUGAAACACA